ACACUCCUACGGGAGGCAGCAGUGGGGAAUUUUGGACAAUGGGCGAAAGCCUGAUCCAGCAAUGCCGCGUGAGUGAAGAAGGCCUUCGGGUUGUAAAGCUCUUUUGUCAGGGAAGAAACGGUGAAAGCUAAUAUCUUUUGCUAAUGACGGUACCUGAAGAAUAAGCACCGGCUAACUACGUGCCAGCAGCCGCGGUAAUACGUAGGGUGCAAGCGUUAAUCGGAAUUACUGGGCGUAAAGCGUGCGCAGGCGGUUUUGUAAGUCUGAUGUGAAAUCCCCGGGCUCAACCUGGGAAUUGCAUUGGAGACUGCAAGGCUAGAAUCUGGCAGAGGGGGGUAGAAUUCCACGUGUAGCAGUGAAAUGCGUAGAUAUGUGGAGGAACACCGAUGGCGAAGGCAGCCCCCUGGGUCAAGAUUGACGCUCAUGCACGAAAGCGUGGGGAGCAAACAGGAUUAGAUACCCCUGUAGUCCCAU
rnacentral:rRNA from 1 species